GCGGGGUGGAGGAAUGGCACCUCACCGGGCUCAUAAUCCGGGGGUCCUGGUUCGAGUCC
rnacentral:tRNA from 1 species